AGAGCAAUGUUUUGGGGCUGUGUAGAUGGCCUGGUUUAUACCUGUGUGUUGCGCUUUCACUGAACUUUUUCUAGUGUGUCUUGACUUGGUCUGAUGGCUGUGCGUGGAUUGAGUCUUGAGAUUUGUUACUUUACACUGAAAAUGUGUGAAUGUUGGAAAGUGGAAUUGUCCCUGUUUUGAAUACAACUAGAUCAACAACUUCUGAAACUCCAAUAAUACUACCUGCAAGUGCUGCUGAAAGAAAAAUAACCCUAACAGCCUUUAAAUUUACUACAUAUAUUCUAAUGCUGACAACAUCAAUUAGAUCUAGAUGCUGCCUGAAGAUUUCAUGUCUCUGGCAUUUUACGUCUCGAGAAAAGAUCUUUUCCCGUUGCAACUUCUGGUGUGGCUAAAGAGGCAAAUCCUUGAUACACAGCUGUAGUCACAGGUUGAGCACAUGUAAUCACCAGGCACCAUUGCAUUGUCACCUUUCUUCCUGCUGCUGUUGUGUAUGGCAUCUGCAAUCCGAGACCCUUCCUUUAUGCUCGUCUCUCCAUGUGGAUCUAUCCAGUGCCACCUUUUCCCAGCUGCUAGUGUCGAUUUUGAAGAUGCACACUAUGGUAAACUCAAUGCAGUUGAGUCCAAUAAUCUCCAUGUCCACAUUGUUUCAACAAGAAC